ensembl:lncRNA
CACACUGCAGCCCGGAAAGCUGUUCUGGGUCACGGUGGCUGCUGUUAAUGGGGCAGGAGUGGGGGUCCAAAGUGACCCAUACAAACUACUCAUAGGUAAGCGAACAAAACAGGUAUAAAACAAUCAUUUUAAAGCAUAAUUUACUCAAUAUGUUACCUGUUGCUCUAUUUUUCACAGAGUUGAGGCAGGAGGCGACACCGUAUCAGACAGGCAUACUCAGUAUGUCUCAUUUCCUUGCUGUGAUUAAAGAGCCGGUAUUCAUUGGCAGCAUUGGCACCCUCCUGUGGUGUAUUUUGAUGAUUACCGCCGUGUUUUUGUACAGGAGACAUGCCAGACCCACCAACCUGGGAGGCAAACACUCAGGCUUGUAUAGACUGAAAAGUGAAGAUCUCAUCAUCAAACACAGAAUGGCGGCACCAGACUCUCCGUGGAUCUCUGGAGGCUGGAGGCCAGAUUCCAGCAGUGAGCCCAAGCAGGGCCUUUGGAACCCGAGUCAAGAGAACUCCGGCUUCCGGAGGACAACUCUGCCCAUUAUGGCUAAAAAGGACCCCAACCCCCUGCGGUCAGCUGUCCCGAUUGUACCAGACAAUUGCGGCGUCUAUGGCACCUUUUAUGUGGAUCUAACCGGCAACGGACUGAAGACAUCUAAUACUCCAGGUUGCUGUCCCAGAAUGCCCCACGGCAAAUCUCAGCUGCAUAACUCCGAAACUGUUCAGAUCACUGAACCCAUCGUCAAAACUGCUGUUGUGAGGGAAGUGAAGGCAUUGCCAUGGAAACGUGCCCUCCCUGCCCAGCCCAACAUGGGUGUUCUGAAGGAAUCGUGGGAGAAAAAUUACAAGCGUGGUGAGACAUUCAUUCAUUCAGUGAGUUAUUCACAUUCAUUUUGUCCAGCACUAACACGUAUUUGUCUACUUCCAGAACUGCAUACUGUAAAAAGUGCCCCACUAAUGCCUGUGAGUCAGCAAGCACUGGCAGUGUGCAGUGCAUCGAGUAACCAUCAGCAAAGAUUCAGUCAGCACCCUGCAGGUUUGAACAUUAGCAUGUCAAAAUUCUGUUAUACAAUCUAGUUGUUAAAUCUGUUCUAAGUUGGUAUACAUGCCCUUAGGUGGUGUAUCAGAGCCUGCGAAGCCGCUGAGUUCUCCACGUAUCCUGCACUACUCUGCCUCUCUGCAACUGGUGGACAUGUUACCCAGCCCUCCACCUCUUCCUGUGGAGGACAACCACAGCCUCAGCUCAGAGGACGAGUGAGAAUCACAACUAUACCCAAAGCAAAAUUUAAAUCUUCAAUGAUUUUAUUGCUCAUUUAUAGCCCAGCAGAACAUGUUUGUAAAACUUUAUAAUAAGGUUAAAUUGGUUAACUUUAGGUAAUGCAUUAUAUAUCUUUAAGUCACAAUGAACAAUAUUUUUUCAGCAGUUAUUAACCCAAGUUAAAGGGAUAGUUCACCCAAAAUGAAAAUUCUGUUAUCUAUUUACCUAUGCCCAUGUCGUCCAAACCUCAAAGACUUACUUACUUCUGUAGAACACAUCAGAAGAUGUUUUGAAAAAUGUUUUCUUUGAAAAAGGUUAUUUUUUGCAUAUGAAGCUCAAUGGGUUUCAGUAUUCCAACAUUCAUUCUUCUGCAGAACACAAAAGAAGCUAUUUUGAACAGGUUUGGAAUGACAUGAGGGUGAGUAAAUAAAUGAUGACAGAAUUUACA